rnacentral:rRNA from 1 species
UACGAAGGGUGCAAACGUUGCUCGGAAUUAUUGGGCGUAAAGCGCACGUAGGCGGCAUUGCAAGUCGGAUGUGAAAUCCCUCGGCUUAACCAAGGAAGUGCAUCCGAAACUGCAGUGCUUGAGUACUUAAGAGGAUCGCGGAAUUCCUGGUGUAGCGGUGAAAUGCGCAGAUAUCAGGAGGAACACCGGUGGCGAAGGCGGGUCUCUGGGCCGUAACUGACGCUGAGGAGCGAAAGCAUGGGGAGCGAACAGG